CCCGCGCCAGUGAUGGUGUUAAAUAUACUUUGAGUGAAUUCCUCAUUAUGAAAAAACAUGUACCUCUGAGGCUU